GAAGCAGGAGGCUGAAACCAGAGAGAUAUGCGAGCAAGCCCAGAUGAAACCAGAAGAACUGCACAGCCUAAAUCAUCAACCUACAGAUGAGAUGAGAUGCUGCCUGAUUUCCUGACAUUAACAAUGAACACAGCCAGAAUCAAGAGGAGGAAGCUACUGGGAC